rnacentral:rRNA from 1 species
UACGUAGGCAGCAAGCGUUGUUCGGAAUUAUUGGGCGUAAAGAGCUCGUAGGCGGUUUGUCGCGUCUGCUGUGAAAACCUAAGGCUCAACCUUGGGCUUGCAGUGGGUACGGGCAGACUAGAGUGCGGUAGGGGUGACUGGAAUUCCUGGUGUAGCGGUGGAAUGCGCAGAUAUCAGGAGGAACACCGAUGGCGAAGGCAGGUCACUGGGCCGCAAUUGACGCUGAGGAGCGAAAGCAUGGGGAGCGAACAGG